rnacentral:rRNA from 1 species
AUUGAACGCUGGCGGCAGGCCUAACACAUGCAAGUCGAGCGGAGCGGCGGACGGGUGAGUAAUGCCUAGGAAUCUGCCUGCUAGUGGGGGAUAACGUCCGGCAACGGGCGCUAACACCUCAUACUUUCAGAUGAGCCUAGGUCGGUUUAGCUAGUUGGUGGGGUAAAGGCCUACCAAGGCGACGAUCCUUAACUGGCCUGAGAGGAUGAUCAGUCACACUGGAACGGAGACACGGUCCAGACUCCUACGGGAGGCAGCAGUGGGGAAUAUUGGACAAUGGGCGAAAGCCUGAUGCAGCCAUGCCGCGUGUGUGAAGAAGGUCUUCGGAUUGUAAAGCACUUUAAGUUGGGAGGCGUUACCAGCAGAAUAAGCACCGGCUAACUUCGUGCCAGCAGCCGCGGUAAUAC